AUGUUAUUCGUAAGCUGUCUUAAAAAUACAAUAAAUUCGAUUUUUCUGGCCGCUGGAUUCAAAUCCAACGGUUGGCAUAUGUCUUAUUUCAUCCUUUUCCCCAGCUUCUUCUCGAGAUGCCGUCUUUUUCCUCUUGCUCUCGCCACCGACGUCGCCGCCACCUCCACACCCGCAACCGACGCCGCUGUCGCACCUUUCUCACUGCCUCGCCGUCCUCAUGCCGCCACAUCCGCCAAUGUGCCGCUGCCUCUGGCCAUUCCUCUAACCCCGAGCUCUUCUCCAGCCUUCCACCCUGCGCGCACCUGA
rnacentral:rRNA from 1 species